CUUCACUCUCAAUCUAGAGUCCUGUCUCUUAUUGGGGGAAUUGCUAUAUCACUACAAGGGAUUGCUAUGCUCUGCAUACUCCCUUAGCUAAUCACUACUAAGCUCUUUUAAGAGCUUGUUCCUGCUUCACUCUCUUGGAGGAGAGGUUCACCCACUGGAACCUGGAGCCUUGUCAUAGGUCCAGGGUGGGUAGGAGACGACGAG